rnacentral:misc_RNA from 1 species
GGAAUGUUUAGGAAAUCAAAGCAUAUAGUUCGAAGAAAGAAGAUGCAAGACAUCAAGUGGCCAGAAAAAGUAUAAAGGGAAAAAGCAAGAAAUCAGAUUUUCCAUACAAUUAGUUCUUAGUUAUGGUAUUUGACUUUUUAAUUGGCAUCUUUUAAAAUAAUCCUGUGCCAUAUACAUGAACUUGCAACUUACCAAGUUUGUUCUAGGGAGAAGAAAAGGAGACAUCAAAUUUUAACUCAUCCUAAAUAAUAUGAAAUAUCAUAUGGAUGAAUCAUGUUAGAUUAGUUGGCCUAAACUGUAACAAGGAUUGUGCAAAUCUUGAGUUUUAGAACCAAAUUCAAAUCACAAAACAAAGAAACACCAACUCUUAAGUGAUGGUCCAAGAAAAGUUACCACCUCAGCUAUGGUAAUUAUCAGCAGGAGUGGCAAAGCAGAGUCUCCCCUCGCAUCUCUCUUUGUAGUUAAUGACAAAGCUAAACCCAAUGCCAUUGAUUAAGAUUAGUUUAAAGCUUUCACUCGUGUUGAGCACACCUCUUUGUGCAGUUAACACAAAACAAAAGGGGCAACAGCAAGUCAACUAUCAGUCAUUACCUUUCAUGA